ACAGGAAGUGUGCUAAUCGAAAAUGAAAGUAGGAUUCGGAGAAUUAAUGAUGUGAUGUUUUGAAAAACGAAAGUGAAAUGACUAUCAAAUUCGGAGAAUUCGAAAGCAGAUGUUCGAGAGGAAAGGUUGCAGGUGAUGCAGUGUUAGACAGGAACAAAGCAAAGGUUUGAUGAAAUGGAAAACAAAUGCGGAUUUUGUGAUAAGAAAACUUUGAGUCUGCGGCUGUGUUCGGCAUGUCAACAGGUUUAUUACUGUUCCACCGUGUGUCAGAGGGAAGACUGGAAACGUCAGCACAAGAUCAAGUGUAAAGAAAUUAAAAAACGUGAACAAACUGAACAAGCCAAAAAUCCGGAAGAGUUCUAUAAUAUUCCUGAUAUUGGAAGCGCAACCGGUGGACCUUUGUAUUCAUCGGAACCGGCACAUGGGCUAACACAUGACAAGUUCGUGGAAUACUUGAGACAAAAUGGAUCGAACCGCUUUUUUUGUGCCGAUAAUUUUUCAGGAAGUGUACUUAACUUUGACGACGAUCUUAAUAAACAGAGUAAUGCGAAAGAAACGGUAAGUGCUCCUCACAAAAGUUGUCAUGUAUGUGACAAAGCAAGCGACGCAGUCAAGACAUGUACUCGGUGCAAGAUGGUCGAUUAUUGUUCCAAGAAGUGCCAGCGUCAGGAUUGGAAAAGUCACAAACUACAAUGUAAAGAUCCGGAGGAAGACGUUUACGAGAGCAUAACUACAGACGGUUAUCGACGAGAGAAAACGUUCGCCUCAGAAUCAGCAAAAUCGGCAGGCAGUGGUUCUUUUAAUCGCCCUCGUCCUUUCCCCAAAACACCAGACUUUUCUCACCGUUCGUAUGCUAAACCAGGCGCCCUUGACAAAGUUAAAAGUCUGACGUGGAAGGCUUUUCCAGGCUGCACCAUUUUGGACUUUUUCCGGGAGAUCCCACAUGAGCUAUUCGGAAUGAGACCACGUGGUACCUCUAGAGUGGCUGUGGGGUUUAUUUCGCGAUAUCACACAUAUUUUCUGCGACAUUGCAUAUAUUUACAGGACAAAGAUGGAGAUGAAGUAUAUGUGGGGUUUUACUUUGAGCGUGACGAGCCCCGACCUUAUUUCCGGUGGAGUGACGUCGUUCCCGGACGGUACCUGUGUAUAGCAGAUCCGUACAUCCACCAGUUCCUCGACGGCUCCGUGGGCAUCAAAGUAGAUGACCCGUCUACCGUUCGCGCGUUUUCAGUUUAAAUACAUUUUGUAGCUUUGAAAUAUCAUUUGCUGACUUCCAUCCCUUAUGCAGAUGUCACUUUGGUUGGGCGACAAAUUAAGUUAAUUAAAAUACAACAAAAAUAAGUAAAACGAAAUUAAAUGAAUAAAUUAAUAAGAUAUACUGAAAAGUUGUGAUUUACCACUUGUAUACAUAUUGGCUAGUUAUCUUUCUGUAAUUUAUGAGUAAUACAAUUGAAUGCAGUUUGCUUUUGUCUUCUGUUACUAGUGAUUAUUUUUGUUCAACUUAUCUAUCAAUCUUGCUAUAAGGGAAUAUUUGUGAUAACUGACACAUUCAUACACAAUAUCACUAUCCCAACCUGCUAAACGUUGGCCAAUACCUGUAAUUUAAAAUAAACAUUUUGUUUUGAAACAAGUAACAUUUAUAUUAUACAAUUAUUACAUUUUUGAGUCCGGUGAAGAGGAGCUAUAUUGGCUUCUGUAUUCGAAUCUAACUUAAGCUUUAACUUUUAACAUUAACAAAUUAUUAGAAAUGGACCACAUGUAUUGAUUGUUAGCAUGUCUGAUAAACGAUUUUAUUGUAAACUAAUUAGUCGGAGAACCAUACCUUGUUUCAUAAUCGUCAACACUUUCCUGUUUUUACACGUUAUUUCACACUUAUCUAGUCCACCACCUGUUAAACUUGUGUUGGAAUGUGUGAUUAUAUAUAUAAGGCUUUUUGCUAAAAUUGGAUUCUUUUUGAUGGGUGUAUACCCGUAUCACUAUUUGGAUAGUAUGGUGAUAACCGCAGCAUACUACAUACAAAACCGAAAGUAAAACUGAAAGUUUGAUAAAAGAAUAGUUUUGGGUUAUCACUAGGAAAGGAUACAUCUAUUAUAUAUGUAUAUAUGUGUCAGUUUGGCAGACUAUUUAAGCUAUCCUGCCAUGAUGUACACAUAAUAGUGGGAUGAUAUAUAGGUAACAAAUAGUUUACUUAUCAUGAUUGCCUCUCUACGUCUUUUAAAAAAAAUAAAGAACCGAUACAUAAAAAUAUAGCAUUAUCUCUACAACACUAAUACACACCAAUCGAUAAACAGGUCACUUUCCGUACAGUGUAUCUUAGUUUGCUUAAAAUUUACGAUGCCAGAAUUUCCAAAAAAACAUAUCUUAUCUAAGGUUACUUUCAUGUGGGACAUACAUGCAUAAACACGUCAGAAAAUAUUGAUCCGGUAGUCUGAUGUGUAAGUUUGUUAUUUUACUGAGGACCAGGCAAGCGGGUAUAGGCUUCUCGGUUGAAACACAAUCGAACCCGACACAUCAGCCAAGUAAACAGUAAGUAUCGUGUAUGAUUGUGAACAGGGAUUUUUUAAAACAAUGAAUAAUAUUGUACUACUGUUGAAAUCCAUGAAUAGCUAUACAGUUGAUGUGAUAUAUACUUUGAAUGGAUUGCCAGUAGCUAAGUGGGAUACGGUAUAUGUUUAACAGUCCCCUACCUUGAGAGUGUUACUUAGAAAUCUCCAAGUGACAUUUCUGUCCUGUUUAACUUGAGACUCUACCAAGAAAAGGCAGCCAUACAAUCACCUCGAGGGUUGGACAUUUCUCUGUUACACUCUCAAAGUAGAGGUUGAUUAGUUUUGUUCCAUCUUAUGAUCUGUGUCACAAAAACAUAUGGUGCGUAUGAAUAUAGUCAAUCGUUUUUUAUGACGUCACAAUUUAUCGCAUGGUACAUGUACUUUGAUCGCGUCUAUCAACCUCUAAUGGGUGAUAACCUGAUCGUUCUCUCCGCUAAAAUGGCAGACCAAACUUAUAAAGGAUGAGAGAUAGUAUAUCGUUGACAAUGACUGGGAGGGGUACGAUAUCAUAUGUAAAUAUGGUUGACAAUGACUGAAGGUCACACUGAGUCUGGUAAGUUUGCUGGACACUGACUGAAGGUCACACCGAGUCUGGUAAGUUUGCUGGACAAUGACUGAGAUGGGUUUUAUAUUUGUUGCAUAUGAAUCUUUUAACUUGGCCGUGAUUGUUUUCACCAUCUCUGCCUUCGUUCUUACUUUCUAAUACUUGAUUUAUAUGUACUUCUCACCUUCGAUCUAUAAAUGACAGAUAAUCAAACAGAAAAGGUCCGGUAUGAUAUGAUUAGAAUCUAGAUUGUUGUUCUUUCAUGUCAGAGAUGAUGUGAUACUUUAGUUUGGUAUCUCGAGGGUAAGUAUAAACCAUUGAAGAUUGCAAAAUAACGAAACAUAUAUCUUGUUUAUGUAAAAACGUCAUGUGAAUGCUUUAUAUAAUAUAUCACAGAAUGAUAAUGAUAAUGCUGAUGAUAAUAAGGUAAAAGUUAUGAAAACUUGAUUCUGUUAUGGAAACUUAUGAAUCAGUCAUGGGGUACGCUUCAUUUAAAUUUUAGCUAGUAAUAGUUUUGAUGUCCACUGAAAGCUAUACAAACCUUACACGAACCAGUCUUAUCUAUAUGUAAAUCACUUUAUCGGAGAAGACAUAUUAAUCGUCUAACAAGUACAAACAAACCCUGAAACUGGGUAACGAAAUAUAUGGACACACGCUAUCGGUAUUUCUUAUCUAGUAGGUGGAUGCUAUUUUGAUAUAAAGUAAAUACUGAAAGUGUAUUAUAGACAUACAAAUAGUUUAUAAGAAAAAGCUUAAAAGAUAGAAAGUAGUAACGUAAUAAUACAAUUGAUAAUUGUUUUAGGAAACACCCCUUUGAGGAUAUGGAUCCGAAGAUGUAUUCGUUAGGACUUGACUUCCCUAUGUAAACAGCACCCGGAACUGCAAUCAUUUCAGUUUAAUAAUAUGGAAAACAAAUGUGAAGUUUGUGAUAAGAAAACUUCGAGUCUUCGGCGGUGUUCGGCAUGUCAACAGGUGUAUUACUGUUCUACCGUAUGUCAGAGGGAAGACUGGAAACGUCAGCACAGGGUCAAGUGUAAAGAGAUUCAAAAACGUGAACAAACUGAACAAGCCGAAAAUCCAAAAGAUUUAUGUAAUUUUCCUUUUAGUGGGAAAACACUAUAUCCACCUCAUGGAGUUUCGAAUGAGGUGUUUAUGGAAUACAUGAGAAAGAAAGUAUCUUUCCAUGUCGCGUCAGAUCUUUUAUCAGACAACGAGCUUGUCUUUGAUGGCAAUCUUGAUGAACACAAUAAUAAAGAAGGAACAGGAAGUAAUUGUUACAAAAAAUGUUUGGUGUGUGGUGAAGCAAGCGAGACAGUCAAGACAUGUGCGCGGUGCAAGAAGGUGGAUUAUUGUUCUAAAAAGUGUCAGCGUCAGGAUUGGAAAAGUCACAAACUACAAUGUUAUGAUCCGGAGGAAGACGUCUACGAGAGCAUACCUACAGACGGUAAUCGACGAGAGGAAACGUUCGCCUCAGAAUCAGCAAAGUCGAGGGGUGCUUAUGAUCGAAGACGUCUCUUGCCGAAAAUGCCAAACCUUUCACAUCGUUCGUAUGUCAAACCAGGCGCCCUUGACACAGUUAAGAGUCUGACGUGGAAGGUUUUUCCAGGCUGCACCAUUUUGGACUUCAUCCGGGAGAUCCCACACGAGCUGUUAGGAAUGAGACCACGUGGUACCUCUAGAGUAGCUGUUGGGUUUAUUUCACGAUAUCACAGAAAUGUGCUGCGACAUUGCAUAUAUUUACAGGACAAAGAUAGAGAUGAAGUAUACGUGGCGUUUUAUUUGAACCAUGACGAGCCCCGACCUUAUUUCCGGUGGAGUGACGUCGU
rnacentral:misc_RNA from 1 species